CAUAAAAAACACAGCGGAACCGCAAGGAGAAUGUUAAAAGAAAAUGAUAGCAGAGACGUUGCAAAAAUACAGCGUACAAAAUAUCACGACUUUUUCUAAAGCUGGCACGCUAGUAAAGAACCUGGCUACGACGGUGGUAGCAUUGCUAGCGAAGAGGAGUAUAGAAGCUAUCAGCCCAGCGUUACCGCUUCGACUUGAACCAGACCAGCAGCAUCUGAGGACCCGAGCAUCAGCAGGGCACCGAGGCCGAGACCCACAACCCCGCUGCGACAGCCACCUGUUCACCGCCUCCUCCCCUCGCACCUGGACCCGAGACCCACACCGAGGCGGAGGCGGCCGCUCAGCGGCUCCACAGUGACACCGAAGCGGACUGCAGAGACCCUGAUGCGCCGGCAGGUGACCAAAAACACACCCCAUGUUGUGUUUCAGAGGAGGAUUUGAGGAAAGAAUAGGGGACGCUUCAGCGACUGAAUACCGGCACUCUCAUGAGCCUUCGCUUGCCACUGUGUCACCUGGAAACAAGUUGCAGAGGGGCUAUCCCAGCACACAUGAGGCAAGGAAUGGGGUAC